AUAUAUAUAUAUAUUUACAAUACUCGUGUUUGACGUUUUUAUAUGUUAUGGUUUACUUCAGAAUUUAACGAUUCCAAAAUGUAGACCCAUGGCUCAAUUUUUUUUUUACAUAAUUAGUGUUCAAAUGGGGCAUGAUUUAAAAAAAAAAAUUAAAAAAGAGCUCAAAAUUUUUAUGUUAUCCAUAAAGUAUAUGUAAAUUUUUUUUUUUGAAAAACUAUUUUGUCCAGGGGCCCAUAAUUUUCUUGAGCCGGCCCUGGAUACAUAGGUUCGAUUCUACGCCAACGGACUACAUUAAAGUCCUUAGAGACCAUAGCCCGUGGGAGACAUGAUAAAAACAGUAAAAACAAACCGAAAAGGAUAGGUCAAGCUAAGAAUCAAAUCACACACGAGAUUACAAACCCGCAUCAAACCACGUACGCAUAAAAAUAACAUCGAACUUCUCACUGCUCCCUUGUCCUAGCAUGUCAUUAAGCCAGCAAAGCCAUGAGUGUCAUCCAAUCUAAUUCGCACCGAUUGCUUAAUGAACCCAAGACAUUAUUAAGUUCAUAGGAGAAAUAAAUCAGGAAUUACGAUGCCAAAAGAACUUAAGGAUCAACGAUCCCCAACAAAAGGGUAAAACAAGCGCACCAAAGCCCACUAACUCAAGACCCUUACUGGUUACUGCAAACCUGAGAUUACUGAUACUGGAUCUGUAACCGAGAAAAAACAGGAGAAGCCUUUGGAACAUCUUUAAAAAGACGACUUUCUAUGGCAUCAUCUAGGAGGGAAGCAUGCCGAAACCAAACUGAAACAACUAGGGAAGAGAGGCGAAGCUUAAAUAACACAGUAACUCCAAACCAAACAAAGUAGAGCAAAUCACCGCAUAAGUGCGAGAAACACAAGCUUGAAGAUGGAAAAGACCACACCACCUUAAAGAAAACACCUACGAAACAGAAGUAAAAACUAUUAG
rnacentral:lncRNA from 1 species